CCCGCUGAACUUAAGCAUAUCAAUAAGCGGAGGAAAAGAAACUAACAAGGAUUCCCCUAGUAACUGCGAGUGAAGAGGGAAAAGCUCAAAUUUAAAAUCUGGCAGCUUUGGCUGUCCGAGUUGUAAUCUGGAGAAGUGUUUUCAGUGCAGGACCGUGUACAAGUCUCUUGGAAUGGAGCAUCAUAGAGGGUGAGAAUCCCGUCUUUGACACGGACUACCUGUGCUUUGUGAUGCACUCUCAAAGAGUCGAGUUGUUUGGGAAUGCAGCUCAAAAUGGGUGGUAAAUUCCAUCUAAAGCUAAAUAUUGGCGAGAGACCGAUAGCGAACAAGUACCGUGAGGGAAAGAUGAAAAGCACUUUGGAAAGAGAGUUAAACAGUACGUGAAAUUGUUGAAAGGGAAACGCUUGGAGUCAGUCGCGUUUGUUAGAACUCAGCUUGGCUUCUGCUUAGUGUACUUUCUAAUGAACGGGCCAACAUCGAUUUCAGUCAGUGGAUAAGGGUAAGAGGAAUGUGGCACCUUUACGGUGUGUUAUAGUCUCUCGUCGCAUGCAAGGGUUGGGAUUGAGGAACUCAGCACGCGCCUUUGGGUGUCGGGGUUUUUGCCCACGAUACGUGCUUAGGAUGUUGGCGUAAUGGCUUUAAACGACCCGUCUUGAAACACGG
rnacentral:rRNA from 1 species